AGUGAACGCUGGCGGUAGGCCUAACACAUGCAAGUCGAACGGCAGCACAGUAAGAGCUUGCUCUUACGGGUGGCGAGUGGCGGACGGGUGAGGAAUACAUCGGAAUCUACUUUUUCGUGGGGGAUAACGUAGGGAAACUUACGCUAAUACCGCAUACGACCUACGGGUGAAAGCAGGGGAUCUUCGGACCUUGCGCGAUUGAAUGAGCCGAUGUCGGAUUAGCUAGUUGGCGGGGUAAAGGCCCACCAAGGCGACGAUCCGUAGCUGGUCUGAGAGGAUGAUCAGCCACACUGGAACUGAGACACGGUCCCGACUCCUACGGGAGGCAGCAGUGGGGAAUAUUGGACAAUGGGCGCAAGCCUGAUCCAGCCAUACCGCGUGGGUGAAGAAGGCCUUCGGGUUGUAAAGCCCUUUUGUUGGGAAAGAAAAGCAGCAGGUUAAUACCCCGCUGUUCUGACGGUACCCAAAGAAUAAGCACCGGCUAGCUUCGUG
rnacentral:rRNA from 1 species